rnacentral:rRNA from 1 species
UACGGGGGGAGCAAGCGUUGUUCGGAUUUACUGGGCGUAAAGGGCGCGUAGGCGGCCACCGCAAGUCAAUUGUGAAAUCUCCGGGCUUAACUCGGAAAGGUCAACUGAUACUGCGGGGCUAGAGUGCGGAAGGGGCAACUGGAAUUCUCGGUGUAGCGGUGAAAUGCGUAGAUAUCGAGAGGAACACCUGCGGCGAAGGCUGGUUGCUGGGCCGACACUGACGCUGAUGCGCGAAAGCCAGGGGAGCGAACAGG